rnacentral:rRNA from 1 species
UACGUAGGGGGCAAGCGUUAUCCGGAUUUACUGGGUGUAAAGGGAGCGUAGACGGCAUAACAAGUCUGAUGUGAAAGGCUGGGGCUUAACCCCGUGAUGGGAAGGAAACUGGGAAGCUGGAGUAUCGGAGAGGAAAGUGGAAUUCCUAGUGUAGCGGUGAAAUGCGUAGAGAUUAGGAAGAACACCGGUGGCGAAGGCGACUUUCUGGACGAAAACUGACGCUGAGGCGCGAAAGCGUGGGGAGCAAACAGG